rnacentral:lncRNA from 1 species
CUUGUGCCACGGUGGCCCAAAUGUCAGUCAACCAGACAUGUCUUCUGAGAGUUCCCAGGAAUGUGGUGAAGAGCAACUGUAAGCGAUAAGAUUGUUCCCAGCGCUAAUAAAACUUUGGAGUUAAUUAACUGAGAAGAAGGUAAAAUGAAAUGUUGUUAUGAGGGCUAAAGUUGUUUUUCUACCUUUUUGAAAAUUAUUUUUUAUCUGUUGAAAUUAUAAUAUAAUUAUCAUCUCUCCUUCUUUUUGCUCCCCUCUCAGAAAUUAACAGCCUUGAGUUGCAGGUGGAAGGUGCAGAAGCCAAAUUAAAAACAGUCUUUUCAGGCUGAGCUCAGGAGCCUGAAUUUCCAUGCUGUAAGUGGCUGGGAUCCACUGGAGGAUUUUAAUUGUGUAAGUUGACAAGAUCAGAUUUGCUAUUCAGAAAGCACACCCUGGCACAGAUCGGUGGGUGGAAUAGAAAGUGGUUGCCCUGGAGACAGGCAGACCCAUUAGGAAGCUCUGACAAAGAUCCAGGAGAGAGAAAAUGAGGAUAGUGGUUGGAGGAAUGAGCAGAUUCAAAGACAUUUUAGAGGUGGAACGGAUGGUCGGGAGACGCUCAUUCAGUGUAAAUGCUGAAGGAAAGGAAGAACCAAGGAGCGCUGUGGUUUCCAGCUUGGAUUUCUAUAUGGAUAGUGAAUAAUUAAUGAAGAUGUGGCGGGCGGGCAUAAUGGGGACUUAAGAGGGAGGUAGUUGUAGAUGGACGUGAUCAAUAUACAUUUGUUUAAAUGUGUAUAACUUUCAAAGAGUAAGAGAAUUAUUAUUUUAAUAGAUCAAGGUAUAAAAUACAAAAAAAAGUCAAAUGGGGGGGGGGGUUUGCUAAUGAAUUCAUAUGUGACCUGUUGAAUUUGAUGUAUCUUUUGGACUUGUAGGUGAAGAAGUCACAUGUGGUGAAUAUAUUAUCAUCAGAAUGCGGAGCAAUGAAAUGUAAACAGAUAGGAAUCGUCACUAAAGCUCCAACUGCAGCCUCCGGGUGCCAUAGCUUUUGCACCAUCCAUUUGCACCAUCUCUGCAUUGCUCUCAAUCACUGCCACGAGUCUGGUGAUGCGCUAAGCUCGGGGCAGGAUCUCAAGGGCUUUGAGGAUGUCUGCAUCAUCUGUAUUGACCUGCUCCCCAGAUUAAUACCGAAGCACUGCAAUUUCUUGAGGAUUAUCCACCUAGGAGGAAAUGAUACGCUGGCCCAUCCAUAGUAGUCAAGAAACAGUCUGAGAUCCAAAAAGUGGCUUAAAAGAGGGAAAAGUUAAUCAAAAUGUCUGUGAAGCUCUGGCUUCAGUCUCUCCAGCGAGGCUUUCUGAAGCACAGCUCUGAUAGAACUAAACCCAAUGAGACACCGCCUACAAGAGGAAUCCAGCGUGUGAACGAAGACUAAAAAGCAAAACAGCAGCGUCUGGAGUGGACAGCUUCUCUCACUCAGAGAACUGUAGCCUCAAAUUCCUGGCAGAGGUGAGACUAGAACUCAGUCUCAUGGUAUUGCCUACAGUUAACAACAUUAGUUGAAUUGUGUGUGUCUUAAUUUCACUUAUGUAAAUGGAAUGAACAGGUAGACAUGGUAGUGCGGGUCUGUCAUUCCGGCACCAGGGAGGCUGAGGCAGGAUAACAAUGUGUUAACAUUCCACCUGAUUUAUACAGUUAGUGUCAGACUAAUCUGAGCCAUAGGCUGAAAACUUGUCUCAAGUCAAUCAACGAAGAGAAGCAUAAAAAUAUCCCAACCAUCCUGAGAUUUUCAGUUUUAUAAGUAAAACAAGUCUAAGUCCAACAUGAGACUGCUAUUCAAACAAACAAACAAACAACAAACGCUGAAGAUGGGCCCAGGAGGGUCCUGCCAUUACUAGCAAAGGGCCGCCAUUACUAGGUCAAGGCCUAGACUCCGAUGUGAUUGGGUUGAGCAGGCAGCAUAGGCCUCAGUUUGCGGAAAAUGAAAAUGCAAGGUGCCUUUCUCAAAGUGAUUUUGAAUUUUAGCGGCUAGAGAGAGCAGAGUAUCAAACCACGAUGAAGGGCUUCUAGUUAUCACACACACACACACACACACACACACACAGAGAGAGAGAGAGAGAGAGAGAGAGAGAGAGAGAGAGGGAGAGAGAGAGAGAGACUCUGCCUUCACACUUGCUGACAACAAAAAUCACAUCGUCCUCCACACUCCCUGUGAGCACAGGAAGGACUACGUGAGGUCUCUGGAGUGUGAUAAGCUUCCCAUAGGAGACUAACCAGGAGAGAGCAUCUAUAUACCGAAUCUUAACUGUGCCUUUGCUUCUCAAAAUGAUAGCCUGCUGAUGCAAGGCUGUGAUUUCCUGAAUAUAUUCCCAUUUCUGUUGCCAGCCUUGUAUUCCCUAGGUUGUCCAAAAAAAAAAAAAAAGUUGUGGAUGUGAUGAUUCUUUUUUUUCUUUUUAUUAUGCUUCAGUGAGCUUUCAAACUUAGCUGGUCAGAAAUAAUGAAUUUAUGCGCGUACACACACACACACACACACACACACACACACACACACACACCUAGCCUACCUUAAUUUUAUCAGUUAAUAAAGAGAGCCAAACUAUUCAGAAUAUUUAAUACAAAGAACAAAAGAGUGGCACCGCCUGAAGAAUGUCAGCAGUGUUUUCAGCUCCGCCGCCCGCUCCGCCCUGUCUUGUUUUGCACUUUAUCUUCCUGGAGCCUUUCCAGGAGACAAAUCUUUCCAUCAGAAUCUUUGUGGGUUGAAGCCCGUGUCCUGUCAGGUUGUGUAUCAAAAUUUCUGGUGAAUUUUUCCUCCUCAAUAUUUCAGACCUAUAAAAAAGAUUUGCAAAGGCAGAACUCUAGAUAUUAUAAUCACUCCAAGCACAGAAAAAAAAAAGUGGUAAAAGUUUUUCUUUUUCCCACUGCUAAAUACAGAAUGUUCCUCUGUUAGGUACCCUUAACACUGACAAAGCAUAUAUUUUUGUUUUAUC